rnacentral:rRNA from 1 species
UGCCAGCAGCCGCGGUAAUACGAAGGGACCUAGCGUAGUUCGGAAUUACUGGGCUUAAAGAGCUCGUAGGUGGUUAAAAAAGUUGAUGGUGAAAUCCCAAGGCUCAGCCUUGGAACUGCCAUCAAAACUUUUUAGCUAGAGUGUGAUAGAGGUAAGUGGAAUUUCUAGUGUAGAGGUGAAAUUCGUAGGUAUUAGAAAGAAUACCAAUUGCGAAGGCAGCUUUCUGGAUCAUUACUGACACUGAGGAACGAAAGCAUGGGUAGCGAAGAGGAUUAGAUA